rnacentral:rRNA from 1 species
UACGUAGGGGGCAAGCGUUGUCCGGAUUUAUUGGGCGUAAAGAGCGUGUAGGCGGCUUGGUAGGUCCGCUGUGAAAACUCGAGGCUCAACCUCGAGAUGUCGGCGGAAACCACUUGGCUAGAGUCCGGAAGAGGAGAGUGGAAUUCCUGGUGUAGCGGUGAAAUGCGCAGAUAUCAGGAAGAACACCCGUGGCGAAAGCGGCUCUCUGGAACGGUACUGACGCUGAGACGCGAAAGCGUGGGGAGCGAACAGG